ACAGGUGUGAGAUUACAGGUAUCCAAAAGAUGCAGUUUUAAAAUUUAUUUUUGUACUUACCAGUGUAGCAAAGAUUUGAAAGGUGAUAAUGCUGAGAAUGUGGGAAAAACAGUGAUCUUGGCACAGUAGGUAUGCCGACUGGGGCUAUUACUCUGGUGUCAGAAUUUGUGUCAGUUUUAACAUGUGCAUAAUCUUUCAUACAGAAAUUCUACCCUUGGAAAUUGAUUAAGGAAAUAAUAAUAUGAGGUAUACACAUACAUAUGCACCCUCCACACACAGGGCUGCUUGUUGCUGCAUUGUUUAUUACAGUGCAAAGGUGGAAACAACGUCAUGUCCACUGAAAGCAGAUUGGUUACAUAAGUUAUGGUACAUUCAGUGAAAUACUACUAAGCAGCCUUUAAAGCAAACAUGAGAGAUCUUUACACAUUCAAAUUAACAAAUUCGUGAGUAUGAAGGACCUUCUACAGCAAAGUGUUAAUCAUGGGUGUCCCUGGGUUGGGGAGGGGAUAAAUUUGCUUAAAUAUUUUACAAUAAUAUAUUCCAAAUAAAAGGAUUAUUUCCAUAUUUGAAAGAAUAAAAAGACAUCUGCAAGGCACUGACAGGACUUUGGUGACUGAACAUGAGAGCAGGUGAGACGGAGCAAGGGAGCCACUGAGGACACCAGGGUCUCUGGCUGGAGCGCCUCCAGGCAUGGCCAGCCAUACAGGAAGAGAGGGGGUGCUGGGGGAGAGCCUACACUUGGUUUGGGAUAGAGAUGGCGAUGUUCAGGGUCCCUGGGUGCCAUGGUGGGGGCUUUGUGUAGCUGGCAGACAAAAUAAGGACAUUAGGCCCUUUGGAGCAUAGGCUACUGAACAAAAAAAAUUUGAUGAGGAAAAACCUCCUAACAUUGCCCAAGCCCCACAGAUCCUGCUGCCAGGGGUGCUUUCUGAAAGAUGAUAGUGUAGCAGCUCAAGUGCUGGGUUACAAGAGCCUGUGGGGGUGAGUCAGGGAUUGGCAGGAAUUGAGCUUCCCACAUCGCUGGCUUCUGCAGCAACUGUGUGCCUAGUAGUGGCUGUCCUUUCCUGUCUUUUAGCUCAGGGGCAAUCACCAGCAUCAGGCCACCUUACUCCUGGUUGUAUUUGCAAUAAAUCUUCUAUUUUCCUUUCCUGUAGCUGUGACCAGUGUAGGGAGUGGCACUGAUAGAAGAGAUACAGCUGCUGCCACAGAGGCCCAACAUCUGAGUUCAGAAUCUAAAAAAACAUCAGCACAAAAAUCAGGUAACUGCUUCUGUCUACCAAGUUCCUACUCUUACCAGAGGAGCAGUUAAGUCUCGACAGUCACUCCUUGGCACAGGGCCCUUGAGACCUUUUCAUGAAAGACAACACGAAAUGUUGGGAAUAGGGAUAGGAAUAAAGAGGUGGAUUCUAGUUUAUGCUCCGUGACUAUUAUGAAAAUUUAGGGGACAAGUCUCUGAAUUUCUAUUUCUCUUCUGCGAAGGGGAUGUGGAAAAAACGACCCUGCCUAUACCAUAGGGUUGUUGUGAGCACCCAAUGAGAUAAUUAUAAACUUCAUAAAUAAUAAAAUAUAAUGCACAUACAGUCUUAUUAUGAGAUUGUAGUUCCUGUAAUGAUUAUGGAUGGCUCAUGGGCAAAGGCUGAAUUUAUUUAAAGAGUCAGAGAACUUCUUUAGAAUUUUCUGUGGUGGGGAGCUCAAGGAGAGGUGAGUAUUUCCAGGAUGGUGUGGAGUAUCCACUUACUGGAUUAAAAUAAGGAGAAAAAUACAGAGGAAACAAAAAAGAAAAUAAUUGCCUGACGGGUAGCCAGGCUGUGGAAGAGCCUGCAUUACCCAAAGCCAUGGGACUCUUUCUUCAGCCACUAAUUGGUUGGUCCUAAUUGUGGCUAAGCAUUCUUCUGCUCAGCAGUUUCUUUCUUCUUUUUGCAAUCCCAAAUUGGCAUGUAGCAUCUAUGAUGUCCACUGGGUACUCCUGACUGCUAAGAGCUUGAAAUGGCAAUAGGAUAAUAUUCCCCCGAACAGGCAGCACCUUCUUUUCCAGGGCACCCUUUUGGAAUCCUGAAAGCAGACUUUACCAUCUCAACUCUGAUGGACCCAGAAGAGAUGAAAGACCAAUUUCUGAGACAGAUCCAGGAAGUCUUAAAGCUUACAUUAGGUCACGAACAAUUCAGACUGAAAUGGGUCAGCUUCGAAGUGAACAAAAAAUAGCACAGUUCUAUGGAUAUGCGGUUUCCCUUUCAUGAAAUCUUCUCUGGAUUUUGAGUAAAUUUUAAUUUUGUAAUUCCUAGUAGAACAAGAUUAGGAAGAACUCGAGAUGUGCCAAAAAGCAUAGAACUACAACUAACACAAAAUAAGACUACACAUGAAACCUGCAUCCCUGGAUUUUACAGAAUGAAACAGGGAUGCAGGAGAAGAUGAGUGUAUUUGGGAACAAUAAUCUUGGGAAUGACAAAUGAACUUCUAUUAAGAAUUUAAAAUAAAAAAUCUGAACCAAACACCAAAAAUCCUGAAAACAAACUCCAUUAAUUUAACUAGAAAAUUACAAGAGGAUGGUAGCGGUCUAGGAAGCUAAGUGGGGCUACACUUCCUAAUAAACCAAAGGAAACUUUCUUUACCUGUCACAAGUUAUUAAAGAGAUUUCAAAUUCUGCAGAAUUUGAAAGUAACAAUUUUAUCACAAUACAUGUUAAUGCUAGUUAUUUUUCCUAAAUUGAAAUCUUACUACAUGGAAGUUGGAAAAUUCUAAGACAGACUGUUCUUAAUGUUAAAAUAUAUUUUCAGAAUAAUAUUCUGGCAUACAUUUCCUUUCUUGUUUCUCUCCAAGUGUCCUGGUCUCCCAGGUGCACGCUAGAAGACAGCAAUAUGUCAAAUAUAGUAGCAACUUUAGUCUGAAAUGUUUAAAGUUAAAGUUUAUUUAUAUUCUUUGUAGGAAUAUCAAUAAAAGACCUCAAACGUAUCUAUAUCUGUACAUGUACAAGAACCGUCAAAAAUUAUUCACAGAACAAAAAUAAAUCUUCUUUAGAACAAACCCAGGUAAUGAAAUGCAGAUAUGGAUCUCACAUACGGAACAAUCUAAAUGCUACUAGCACAAAAAUAUGGCUUUAAAAAUAAAAUAAAAUCUUGGGUUUUGUUUUUCUAAGGUGUAUUUCUCUUUCUUGAAAUAAAAAAUAAAUUAUUUAGAGCUAUCAUUGUAAAAUAGUUGUGUGUCAACACACUCUUAUUAAGGCCCUGGAGAUGAAAAACAAAAUCAAAUUUAGAAUGUAAAUUCCUCACCGGUGUAACUCAGGUUAAUGUGUUGCUGUCUGCUUAAGUUAAUAUAACUAGGAAAUGUCUAAGCACCAGUCAAAAUUUAACCUAAUUUACUAUUUACCUUUUCUGAAGGUGGUCAUUGAGUCAAUUAGUAUUUAACCUUUUGUUGAACUGGGAAAUUGAAAUGUUUCCCUUGAAAAUUUGGAAAUCACAUAAAAUGAUAUUUACACAUAAAUAUCUGUACCCCCACAAAGAUGAUGGAGGUCCGUAAAACACAACUUCUGUGGAAAUCUCUCUACAACAACAGAUAAAUCUGGUUUUAAGUCUCAAACUAAAAAAAAAA